AUGAUGCUCAUCUUUGUGCCGCUGCUGCUGCUGCAAACUGCUGCAUGUCUGGAUCGGUUCUGCAGUUUUAAUCAAUCAGAUCCCUGUUACGCAACUCUGGGAGACAAACUUAGUCUGCAGAUGCUGGACGCUCGUGAAUAUGACCUGAAGAUACAUAAGAGGAUAAACAGCACACAAGAUGAUCCAGUUUGUAGAGUAAAGAAUGACAGGAUGAGGAUGAGUCAGUGUGAUCUUUAUAAUAACAGAACUGAUGUGACAGUCAUUAAUGGGACUCUGAUAAUAAACCGUGUGAUCAGAGCAGAUUCAGGGAAUUACAGGUUAACUCUCGUUCACUCAGACGGCACAGAAACAUCUAGAGAUCUUCAAGUGAUUGUUGAAGCUCCUAUUGGCUCAGUGGAAGUGUCAAUCAUCUGCUCCUCCAAUCAGACGUCAGUGUUCUGCUCCUCUAAAGGCGAUCAGAUCAUCUACAGCUGGACUCUGAAUGGAAAAGUACUAGAAGAAGGACUAAUGUUUGGAAACAGCAGCAUUGAUCUGGAUGAGGGAACUGAUGGAGACAUCAGCUGCAGCGUGAAGAACAACGUCAGUCACGCACAGAAGACCAUUAGACUCAAACCCUGUCCUGGAGCAACUACUGAAGCUGUGACCUCUAGUGUGACCUCUAGUGUGACCUCUGCAGUGACCAGCAGCACACAGACAUCAGAAGGUGUGUGUUCAGUGUCUCUGGUGUUUGUGUUGGUCUGGUGUCUUCAGCUGAUGGUUCUUUUGGGUCUGUUAGGAGCUUUUCACAUCUACAUGAGACACACUUGAGAAGAUGAUGAUGAUGAUGAUGAUGAUGUGAUGCUUUUAGGAAAGAAGCAGAAAGAUCAGAAAGUGAGGAUGAGAAGAUUGAGAGAAGGACAUGAACACACAGCAGAAGAUUCAUGAAAGCAGCAGCAUAUCAUCAAAUCUAUGAGAAAUGACUUCCUAUAAUGUCACCGAUUCUCACAUCAAUCCAGCUUUCAUCUGUCUUUUAUUUUUUUUUAGUCAGAUCUGCUAGAUGGUGAAGUCAUUUGUUUAUUUUCACAUUUCUGCUCUUGCUCAUUUACUUUUUUCUAUUGGUUUUGGUUGAUUUCUCUUAAUUUUCAGUGUCUAUUUAGAUGUUUUAUCUGUUUAAAGCUCUUGCUCCAUUUCUUAGUUUUGGGGUGCCUGUUUUUUUUUUUUAAGUGACUUUUUAGAUGACUUUUAACAUGUUUAAUUUGUGCAUUUGUAAAUGGAGUCAGUGUUGGAAAUAACAUGCAUUGAAAUAAAACUGUAUUUGCAGUCA
ensembl:lncRNA